GACGUAGGGCGCGAGCGUUGUCCGGAUUUAUUGGGCGUAAAGAGCUCGUAGGCGGCUCGUUGCGUCGGCUGUGAAAAACCCGCAGCUCAACUGUGGGCUUGCAGCUGAUACGGGCGGGCUGGGAUUCGGUAGGGGAGACUGGAAUUCCUGGAUGUAGCGGUGAAAUGCGCAGAUAUCAGGAGGAACACCGGUGGCGAAGGCGGGUCUCUGGGCCGAUAUCGACGCUGAGGAGCGAAAAGCGUGGGGGAGCGAACAGG
rnacentral:rRNA from 1 species